GGCGAUCUAGCCAAGUGGUCUAAGGCGCUAGGUUCAGGCUAUUUUAAGCUUCCUAGUCUCGAAUUUCGGGGCGAGGGUUCGAAUCCCUCGGUCGUCA